rnacentral:rRNA from 1 species
AGGAUGAACGCUGGCGGCGUGCUUAACACAUGCAAGUCGAACGAUGACCCCGUGCUUGCACGGGUGAUUAGUGGCGAACGGGUGAGUAACACGUGAGUAACCUGCCCUUGACUCUGGGAUAAGCCUGGGAAACUGGGUCUAAUACUGGAUAUGCACCGUGAACCGCAUGGUUUUUGGUGGAAAGAUUUAUUGGUCAAGGAUGGACUCGCGGCCUAUCAGCUUGUUGGUGAGGUAAUGGCUCACCAAGGCGACGACGGGUAGCCGGCCUGAGAGGGUGACCGGCCACACUGGGACUGAGACACGGCCCAGACUCCUACGGGAGGCAGCAGUGGGGAAUAUUGCACAAUGGGCGAAAGCCUGAUGCAGCGACGCCGCGUGAGGGAUGACGGCCUUCGGGUUGUAAACCUCUUUCAGUAGGGAAGAAGCGAAAGUGACGGUACCUGCAGAAGAAGCGCCGGCUAACUACGUGCCAGC